rnacentral:RNase_P_RNA from 1 species
GAAGUCGGCCGGAAGGUCGCCGGUGAACAAGCACCGUUCACGGGAGGAAAGUCCGGGCUCCGCAGGACAGGGAGGUCGGUAACACCGACCCGGGGUGACCCGAGGGAAAGCGCAACAGAAAUGACACCGCCGAUGGCGCUGCGCUCGCAAGAGCGACGCGCACAGGUAAGGUUGAAAUCGUGGGGUAAGAGCCCACGCGCGACAGCCGGGCGACCGGCGGCGAGGCAAGCCCCUCCCGGAGCAAGCUCGAAUAGGGACACCGUCGAGAGCGGUCCGCUCGAUCGACGGCGCGCAAGCGUCGUCGCGGUGUCCGGGUGAGAGCGCUCGAGCCGCCUAGCAAUGGUCGGCCUAGAGGAAUGACUUUCGCCGUGCGCGGGGCAACCCGCGCGCGGAACAGAACCCGGCUUACAGGCCGAUCCGGAC